CCGCACCAUAAGCCCAAUCCCUUUCAGAUUUGGACCCUUUGCCGCACCUAAACCCUAGCCCAUUGCCUAAUCUGAUCUCCCUAAUCUUUGCCUCACCUAGGGUUCUAGAAUACUUGAUUUCCUUGCCUUGCAAGGCAUUCUAGAAGCCUUAACCCUAGCCCACUAAACCAGCCGAACCCUAGGCCUUUUCCCAUACAAAAUCUGAUUGUUUUAACCUAUUUUCUGUUGGAUUUGGGUUUCUAGAAACCCUAAUCUGAUUGCUAGGGUUUUUAAGUGCCUAUAUAUACUCAUUUAAAGCUUUUGGCCGAACCUACCACCUCCCAUAUCAACUAUUCACUCCAGAAAUUUACCCUAAGCCUUGGCCGCAACCACCAACAUCAUUCUCCCUAGUUUUAAGUCAUUGCCGCAGCCUUCCACCCCCAAACUCCCAUAUUUCAGACUUCUACAACCCUAGCCGCACCUUUCCACCACCAUUACCACCUCGUGCAGCCACCAUUGAAGGAGAAAGAAGUAGUGCCGUGCAGUCCAAAGGAGGGAGAAACCUUGCACAUGCAAUCUGCCAUUAGUGGAGUGUUUGGAGUUCUUUCUUCUCUUGUUUCUGUUUUCAUGUUUAUGUGGAACUAAUUUCUUUUUAGUUAGAGGCGAAUUUGAAGCCAUGGACAUAUGUUGGUUAUGAUUUGAUUUACUCCAGUUAUGAAUUCAUGAACUUUAUAUGUGGUUUACUUUUCUGUUUUGAUUAAGAACUUGUUUAUGUAUGUGGGUUGAGGGUCGA
rnacentral:lncRNA from 1 species